rnacentral:rRNA from 1 species
UACGGAGGAUGCAAGCGUUAUCCGGAAUGAUUGGGCGUAAAGGGUCCGCAGGUGGCAAUGUGUGUCUGCUGUCAAAGAAUGAGGCUUAACCUCAUCAAGGCAGUGGAAACUACAUAGCUAGAGUACGGUCGGGGUAGAAGGAAUUCCGCGUGUAGCAGUGAAAUGCGUAGAUAUGCGGAGGAACACCGGUGGCGAAGGCGGCUCACUGGACUGGUAUUGACGCUGAGGUGCGAAAGCGUGGGGAGCAAACAGG